rnacentral:rRNA from 1 species
UACGAAGGGGGCUAGCGUUGCUCGGAAUUACUGGGCGUAAAGCGCACGUAGGCGGCUUUCUAAGUCGGGGGUGAAAUCCUGGAGCUCAACUCCAGAACUGCCUUCGAUACUGGAGAGCUCGAGUCCGGGAGAGGUGAGUGGAACUGCGAAGUGUAGAGGUGAAAUUCGGUAGAAUUAUUCGCAAGAACACCAGUGGCGAAAGGCAGGCCUGC